rnacentral:rRNA from 1 species
AACGAACGCUGGCGGCGUGGCUAAGACAUGCAAGUCGAACGAACUGCUCAAUUUAUUGAACAGUUAGUGGCGAAAGGGUUAGUAAUGGAUAGGUAACGUGCCCUGUGCUCCGGAAUAGCGUCGUUCGCCUUCGGGCGAGCUACCGAAAGGGACGGUAAUACCGGGAAUAUCAUUUGUCGAUAGGCAUAUGAUCAAAGAUUUAUCGGCUCAGGAGCGGCCUAUCUCCUAUCAGCUUGUUGGUGGGGUAAUGGCCUACCAAGGCGGCGACGGGUAGCGGGACUGAGAGGUUGACCCGCAACAUCGGGACUGAGACACUGCCCGGACCUCCACGGAGGGCUGCAGUAACGAAUCUUGCGCAAUGGGCGAAAGCCUGACGCAGCGACGCCGCGUGUAGGAGGAAGUCUUUCGGGAUGUAAACUACUGUCAGGAGUAAGAAAGUCCGCUCCGGCGGAUUGAUCUAACCCAAAGGAAGUCACGGCUAACUUCGUGCCAGCAGCCGCGGUAAGACGAAGGUGGCGAGCGUUGUUCGGUGUUACUGGGCUUAAAGAGUGUGUAGGCGGAAAAGUAAGCGUCCUGUGAAAGCCCUCGGCUUAACCGAGGAAUCGCUCGACGAACUGCUUUUCUUGAGGCAAGUAGGGGUGCAUGGAACUCUUGGUGGAGCGGUGGAAUGCGUAGAUAUCAAGAGGAACGCCGGUGGAGAAAUCGGUGCACUGGGCUUGUCCUGACGCUGAGACACAAAAGCGUGGGGAGCGAACGGGAUUAGAUACCCCGGUAGUCCACGCCGUAAACGAUGUCUACUAGGUUGUGGUGGUUCUGACACCAGCACGGCCGAAGCAAAAGUGUUAAGUAGACCGCCUGGGGAGACGGUCGCAAGGCU